rnacentral:piRNA from 1 species
GGGCUUCGAUCAGUUUUCCGC